ACCUUCCUCGUCUUGGGGUGAUGCGGGCUGUUCAAUGAGCGUAUAGCGAGAACAGCCCUGCUAACACCAUACCAACACAUCCGCAUCACCUGGGCUUUCCAGCUCAGGCUAUGGUGCAAUUUUUGGAACC